rnacentral:lncRNA from 1 species
CCAGAUUUUAAAUGAAAUAAUAAAAAGGUAAAGGACCACAGUAAAAUGCGCGUUAAGAAGGAAGGAUCGAUCGCGCAAUAUUCCCCAUCCCGUAUGCGCAUUGAUUUAUGCGGGACCAGAUUGGAACAGGCGAGAAAUUACGUGGCCGACAUUAAAAGAAAUAAAAGAGUGCGUUGCAUAUGCUACAGAAUUGGAGGGACUAAUUGUGUAAAAUACCCAUUAGGGUAAUAAUGCACAGCCCUCUUUCUUUUACACGGCGCCGUUUGAACUUCAACACAAAAGCUAAAGACUUUGUUUUAUUUUUUUGCUGCUACAUUCUGCAGAGAGACGCAAAAAGAAAUAAAAGGGAAAUUCCCUUUUUUGCUAGGGUUCCAGGUUUAGCCUUGGAACCCCGCCGCCGUCACGCCUUCCCCUGCCCGGUGGCCGGAGCCAUGCGAGGGUGUCUCCCACCAGCGCGUUGGAGCGCGCUCAGAGACCAAGGCUCUGAAACGGGGAAACGAGGAGAAAACGGAAGGCCUUUGUCCCUUCCUUAACCAGCGUUCGGCGACGGCGAAGAGCCGAUGACGACGCCGGAUUCAGGGGCCGAUUCAGGUGAGUUUAUCCUUCCCCUUCCCCUUUUCCUUUAUCUUUAUUUUUGUUUUUGUUUGAAAAAUCAAAAUAAAAAAUAAAUACAACGAAAAAAUAAAAAGGAAAUAUUGCAAUCGAAAUCACCUUUGAUUUUUUUGCUUUUAUUUCUGUGAAUAAGUUACAAGAAAGAAAAGAAAAAGAACCCUGUUACAAGAAUAAAGUUUGGCCCCCUAACAGAUCUAAAGAUCGAUUUUUUACUGAUUCCCCUCUUUUUUUUAUCUAUUUUUCAAUCGGUUUUAUACUGAAAGAUACCAAAAGCAAAAAACCCCCCUUUUUCCUUUUGUUUGAUUCGGCUCUUAUAGCCGACUACGCUACUGUUUUCUGUUUUCUGUUCUCUGUUGCUGUUUCUUUUGCUUUUGUUGUUGUUUGCAGGACCUGAUGAAGUCAACGGAGACGGAAAGCUUCCAUUUUGGUGCAAGGCGUAGCUGGCGGUGGCAGACCUCGGGCGACGAGUGCGCUGGAGGCACAUGGGUAGCAAGAUGCGGCGCACUAGGGUUUCUAGGUUUCUGAUUUUUGCUGAAAUUGUUUUAAUUUUGGGCCAUCUGGGCCUUGUUAUUUUUCGGGUUUGGAAUUUGGGUUGUAAUUUUGGGCCUGGGCAUAAAUUGGGUCUUACAGCUGCCCCUCUUUGCUCGUUGUCGUGUAACGGGAACAGAGCAAAGACUAAGAAAGACCAAUUUUGCCCGGUCUCAUCGAGUCUCGACUUCUUUUAACACUUCUCCUCUUCACGUAGUGUUAUCCCAGUCCGCUUCGACCCACUCCAUUGCAGUUCAAAAAGAUCUGACUUGUAGCUCCAAUCUUCUUCGCCGUAACUUCAGGGGGACGAUGUUUGUGGUUUUAGCCUGCUCCACUGUAACUUCAGGGAGAUAAGACUGGUUUCUUUUGUCUGCUCCACUACUACUUAGAGAGAUAAGACUUGAUGUGAUCUGCUCCACUACUGCUUAGGGAGAAAAGAUCUUAAAUCUUCAAUCUACUCCACUACUACUCAGGGAGAUAGGAUUGGUGGCUUAAAUCUGCUUCUCCACUAUCUUGGGAAAAUAAGAUUUACCAUCUUCGAUCUGCUCCACUACUGCUUAGGGAGAUAAGAUCUGCAAUCUUUGACCUACUCCACUACAGCUUAGGGAGAUAGGAUCUACCAUCUUUGACCUACUCCACUACUGCUUAGGGAGAUAGGACUGGUGGUUUUGAUCUACUCCUUUAACCAGCUCCACUGCAACCGAUGGAGGCAAGGCUUUGUUUUUUUUUCUGCUUCGCUGUUCACGCAGGAAGGCAAAAUCUGCUUCUUUAACCAGCUCCACUGCAACCGAUGGAGGCAAGGCUUUGUUUUUGAUCUACUUCGCUGUUAACGCAGGAAGACAAAAUCUACUUCUUUAACUAGCUCCACUGCAACCGAUGGAGGCAAGGCCUUGUUUUUGAUCUGCUUCGCUGUUAACGCAGGAAGGCAAAAUCUGCUUCUUUAACCAGCUCCACUGCAACCGAUGGAGGCAGGGCUUUGUUUUUGAUCUGCUUCGCUGUUAACGCAGGAAGGCAAGAUCUGCUUCUUUAACCAGCACCACUGCAACCGAUGGAGGCAAGGCUUUAUUUUUUUGAUCUGCUUCACUGUUCACGCAGGAAGGCAAAAUCUGCUUUUUUAACCAGCUCCACUGCAACCGAUGGAGGCAAGGCUUUGUUUUUUUUUAUCUGCUUCGCUGUUAACGCAGGAAGGCAAGAUCUGCUUCUUUAACCAGCUCCACUGCAACUGAUGGAGGCAAGGCUUCGUUUUCGAUCUUCACUGGUCUACUCUUUAGGGAACAUGAUAUGUCUAAUGAACCUAAUUAUGCCUAAUGAUUAGGAUGACAUGAUCAAAAUGAAUCAAACGCUCCUAACUAGACAUGUAUGAAUGGUGUUUGCAUGAAUGCAGAAUUUUAUCUUUCCGAGAAUGCUCCCGCUUAGGUUGUUAUUACUCGAAGUUUAUUAAGGCCUUGUGACUGACGUGCUACGAUGCCUUCUCGCUUGACUGGCUUUUCUGAAGAAACAUUUAGCCAGGUUGCCCCCAUCGUAAACCUCAGAGUUUAAUCCAUUGGGGCACCAAAUUUGUACCAUCAUUUUCCACUGUAAUCCAAGAGUAGAGAUAUAUGGCUUUCCUCAAUCCUCUCUUAUCACAAUUCAAGGAUACAGGAUCCGAAUCGUUAUGGUCUCUUACACUAAUGCUAAGGUGUUGUACCAAAGACAUGCGCAAAUGAAGGCUCUCUUCUCCGAGGUAGCCUCUUCCUAUUUGCCUGGUGAUCAUUGCAUCUUGUCACUUUCCUCAAUCAAUGUUCUUGUCAACAAAAUCCAAAGAGAAAGUCUAAGUUUAGACUCUUCCUUCUCAAAUUUCCAACCUUUAAAAUUGAUGUGUUCUAAACAAUAGUCCUGUUUCAGGCUCCUAUAUUGUUUAGAAACUUUUCAAAGUAAUAUGCAAAACUUCCUUUGUGAAAGUUUUAUUAGUCCAUUAAUCAUUAUUCCAAUACAACAUGCUUGCAAAAAGGGUCAUAACAAUGGAUAAGAAUAAAGUUGGUUUUGAGCAUAGCUCAAAAGAACAAGUUAUCCAAAAAUAGUAAAGAAGGAUGACAAAGAAAUUGAUUGGGAAUGUAUAUCUUGGAAAAGAAAAAAGGUAUUCCAAGAACAACAAAUAAUAUGAGAAUUGGGUGCCUCAGAUGUCGCAACUUGAACUUCUCCGUACAAACUUUCUGAAGACCAUUUUGAGUUUGACAUGUGUUUAGGAGAUCUAUAGUGCUUUGUCGAUGCCCCAAGAUGUCGCUUAUCCCUUCCUGUUGAUUCAGGUAUAGCAAGAUCACCACAUGCCCCAAUAUGAUCAAAAUACGAAUCGUUCUGAUCGCCUCAUGCCCUACUUUAAUCAAUAUUUGAGCCGCCCUUUUCGGGUUUUCAACUUAAAUCCCCUUUAGUCUAAGGUGCCCUUUGCGGGUUUUUCCCUUAGCCUCUCCAUUUUACUUUUCAAUUUUUCAUUUUCAUUUUUCAUCUCUCUUUUUUGAACUUCAUUGUCUUGCAAUACAGUGACAAACCGUGGUGCUUGAUUUUGAACUGAUUACAUCCCUCAGCUGUCGUGUUGCCAUUCCAGUUCAAUGUAUUUUUCAAUACCAUCCUCUCUGGAAUUCUUUAUCGGCAUAUGAUGACAUUGACGCAUGCAGUAGCCUCUAUCCAUUUGAUGAAGUAAUUAAUGAUCCCAGUAGUGAAGCAAUGCCCAUUAGAAGUCUUCGAUAAUGGUGAUGUCCAUGCUCUAUUUUGCUCGAAAUUUGAGUCGCCCCUUUCGGGUUUUCAACUCAAAACCACCUUUGGUCACAAAGCGCCCUUUUUGGGUUUUCGCCUUGGCCUCUUCUUUUCUUUUUUUUGCUUUUCAUAUUUUUAUUUUGACUUUGAUUGAUUUCUCUUUUUCUUUUUGUUUUUUAUUUUGAUUUUGAUUUUGAUUUUUUUCUCUUUUUCUUUUCCUUUUUUUCGAAUCGGAUCUGAAGUCUUGGGAUUAGGCAAGUCCUUGUUAUCCCUUUCAAAGGAUCUCCUCUGAUAUCGGAUUUCCCUUAUAGAGCCUUUUGGGGCAAAACUACAACUGGAAACUUUUGAUCUUUCUCUUCCAUCAGGAUAAAAUCCAACAUCUUAAAGGGAUAGAAACUCGACUUCAAACGGGCAAAACUAUGCUGAAUCGACGAGAACGGCAUUGCCCCAGCAUAGAAUUGUAUCGUGUUGUUGUGCAGAUUUCUUUAUCAGUGCUUGACCCGGCAUCUCCUGAUGUGAUCCUACAAAGACCUCUUUAAAUAAGGUCUUACUUCAUUUUUGAGGACAAGUCAAUUCUAAUCUUCACCAAGCUCAGAAUUCCUAAUGAUUCAUUGAGAGGUAGGAUCUGUCUAUCCUCCUACUCAACCAUCCUCAAUAAGUCCGGAGGUAAGCUACAAUCUUUGUCAUUUUCAAAGUCCUGAGAUCCCUCUGCACACAUGCCUUGCUCAAAAGAAAAAUCUAGGUGUGUAGCAGAGUCAUUCACGGCAUUGAUAUCUGAGGACCCAUUAUAUGCACCGAAGAAUAUACAAAAGAAUGUAUAAAUUUAUGAAUGAUUAUUUACAAUAUGAUUAUGAAUGAAUGAUGGUUUGGAAGAAAAUCCAAAAGAAUGAAAGAAUAUAGAAUUAUCCGUAAAGAAAAUAAUCGUAAAGAUGUAUUUCAUAAUAACGUUCAGACAUAAGCCUAUUUCACAAAGGAAUUUCUAUCAUUUCUAGGCUAAGAACAACAAAAAUGUUCUGAACAUUACUUUAAAAAGCUCUAGAGACUAUAGGGUUUUCUUCUGCAGUCGAAUUGCUUAGAACACUUCUAUGUUUAUAAGGGAAAAUAUCUAACAGGGUCCCUUCUUCAGUUGCUUCUGCAUUGCAUUCACUCCACUUAUCAAUUAUGAUUGGGUAAUGGAGUUUCCGCACUGNNNNNNNNNNNNNNNNNNNNNNNNNNNNNNNNNNNNNNNNNNNNNNNNNNNNNNNNNNNNNNNNNNNNNNNNNNNNNNNNNNNNNNNNNNNNNNNNNNNNAGUUUUUUAAAAGCAAUGCAAUUUUUUAUCGAAUGCCCCGUAUUUCCCGCAUGAUAUUCGCAUUGUGCAUUCGCAUCGUGCCAUCUGGGGUACGGAGGCUGUGGAGGCUUUGUAUAGAGAGGGGCAACAAUGCGCGCGUUGAAUAACUUUUGAUACAGCUCCUUAUACAUCAUCGGAAUUGGCGUAAACUGGAGGUUCUCAGUACCUUGUUUCGCACAAGGUUCUUGUCUAGAUGAACCUUGCUGACUAGCAAUCACCUUAUUGUAAGUGUUCACAUUGCUUACAUCGUUUUCCUUCUUCUUUAAAUCUGACCUUCUAUUAUUCUCCCCAGCAUCAAUCUUUCCACUUCUCACGGCACUUGCAAUCAUUUCACCGCUCAUGACUAUGUCUGAAAAGCUUUUUGUCGCGCUUCCUAACAUAUGCGUAAUGAACGGGGCCUUCAGCGUAUUGAUGAAGAGCAUUGUUGUCUCUUUUUCCAGGAGUGGUGGCUGAACUUGUACGGUAAUCUCCCUCCACCUUUGUGCGUAUUGCCUAAAACUUUCAUUAGGCUUUUUCCCCAUAUUUUGUAGGGUAAUUCUGUCAGGCAUCAUUUCCGAGACAUGAUUGUACUGUCUCAUGAAAGCCUGUGCCAAAUCCCUCUAAGUACCAAUUUUUGUUCUGCUCAGCUGAUUGUACCACUUUGACACUGCUCCUGUAAGACUUUCUUGAAAGCAAUGUAUUAAUAAUUGAUCAUUAUUAAUAUACCCCGUCAUUCUUCUGCAAAACAUAGUAAUAUGGGCUUCUGGGCAACUGGUCUCGUUAUAUUUCUCAAAUUCCGGCAUUUUAAAUUUGUAAGGUAGCACCAAGUCCGGAACCAAGCUCAGAUCUUUUGCGUCUAUCCCAUGAUAGCUUUCAAUGCUUUCUAUUGCCCUAAACUUCUCUUCUAUCUAUUUCUAUUUCUCCUCAAAUUGUUUUGGAAGUUCCUCCUUCGCCUUGUCCUUUUCAGCCAUCUCAUCAAGAUCUGGGAUAGCAAUAUUAUUCGGGCUAUCACCGGGAUUAGAGCCCGCUCCGGGUUGAAAAUUCAUUGGUAUUGAAGCAUCGCCUUGGAACUGCUGAGGCCUAACCGACACAGAGGGUUUUCGCGGAUGCAGCUCAGUUUGAACCUGCGCAUGCGGAGGCGUAAAACUUGGAGGAUAAAGUGGUUCGCCAUUGUUUUCUUCCUCAUUAAUAAUCACAGGUCCUUUCCCCUUAUCUACUCCCUUCAAUAAUUGCGUCAUCUUAGUUAUCAGAUCAUUUUGAGACUCUUGCAUCUUUUGUACCAUGUCAUGUUGAAUCUUUUCUAUUUGUUCUUUCAUUUGCGCCUGCAGCUGGUCUUGCAUUUCCUUUUGAAGUCGCUCUAGCUUUUCCAACUUUUGGUCCAUAAUUUUUUACUUAGCUCGAGUGUCGUAACUUUGUCGGUUUUCCAGGUUAACUGAAAUAAAUUGACUCAAUUAGACUCUUUUAAUGGAUGCUAAUGCAUGUAAUGCCGGUGCAUAAAAUGAAUGCCUAGAGAGACAUUGAUUUUGAUUCAAUUACAUUUAGGAAACUUUUCUAGAAAGCAAAUUCCUUUACAUAAAGCAGAUGCAUGUAAGGCCUCGCCCUUAUAUUCCUAGAGACAACAUCAAUCUUUUCCUUCAUCUGCAUGUUUGUGAUAAUCUCACCAAUUUCCAACAGACGCCACUGCUAGCUUCUUUUCUAGAUCUUGGUCGUCAUCUUCAUGAGACUCGUCAACUUCUUUAAGGGAGUUCGAACGUCGAAGGCUCUUGGACAAUCGUCUUGAAUCCUCAGGCCACGAAGUAAGGUCACGAACUCUUCCAUCGUCUUUCUUGUGUUUCUCAGAAUAUAUUCAGGCAGUCGUAUUGUUUUCUACUUUAUCAAGGAAUUCGUAUUCUAUGACAAGCUUUCUAAUUUAGUAAUUGGAUUUGAAUCAAUAUCUCUUUCCUAAGAUGCAAAUGCAAUGCAAUCAUAAUCAAAACAAAACAAGAUGUGUUAGUACAAAACAGAAGCAAACAAGAAAAAUAGAGUACCUAUUCGGGUAACCAUUAGGGGUUUGAAAUAGCUCUACCUAGAGUGGGCUUUUAAGGUCUUCUACAUGCGGUUUGGCUCUAAAAUCAAGGUACCCGAACCAGCAGAUUCCUCGAUCCUCACCCAUUAUAGGCUCAUAUGGACCGAGUUCGGUUCAGGGGAAUACAUUUCCCUAUGGCUGCACGGAGAUGAAAAUCUCACGAAGACAUAGGUACGGAUGUAUCCCGAAAGCGAUCCACUAUCCUGCACGGAGGUGAAAACCUCACGAAGGACUAGCUUCUCACUCCCACUUAAAAGGUGUGACCAACGGUCAUGCAAUGCAAUGUGCAGAAAGAUAUAAAAAUUUAAAAUGCAAAACUUGAUGAAAACUAUAAUUCAAGACAAAUGAAAUGCAAUGAGAGGAUCGUAAAUUUAAACCAAGUUUUCAAUUUUUGACAAAAAGAUAAAAAAUAAUCAACUCAUGGCUUGACUCACUUAUUUAAGUCCCCAGUGGAGUCGCCAAGCUGUUGACACCAUUUUUUGGAUGAAACGGGGUCGACUUGGAUUUUGAAAAUAAAAACGAAAACGGGAGUCGCCACCAAUCUUUUUUGAUGAGGUGUGAUCGGGUCACCUCGAAAAGUGGUUGUUUUUAAUAAACGAUUUAAUUUUUAUUGAAACAACGAUUUUGGUCUACGAAAUUCAGAAAAAUGAGUUCGGGAGUCGAUUACGCACGAGGAAGGAUUAGCACCCUCGAUACGCCCAAAAUUGGUACCCAGUUGAUUACUUAAUGUCUUGGUGUCGAAAAUUGAGAACUUUAAAGAAAUUUAAAAUACAAUCAUUAAAAAAAAACUCGAAUGGCAUGGAUAAAAAAAUUUAAGAGGAUAUUCGGCAAUUUGGUUAAACGAGAAAUCGAAACCCAGCACAUUAGGGCACGUUUUCUCGAAUUCCCAAACGCAAAAUAUUUCCUCUUUUGAAAUUUUUGGAAGGAUAUUUAGUCACUUGGUUGAACAAGAAAAAUCGACACCCAGCACAUUAGAACACGUUUUCUCGAAUUUCCAAAUGCUAAAUAUUACCUCAUUUAGAAAAAUUUUCUUUUUUGAAGUGUGGUGUUAAUAUGCAUAAUGAAACAAAAAUGAAUACGACAAGGUAAGCAUAAAUAUUGUGAGUAACAACAGAUGUUAAGUAGGCAAAAUGAGAAUGACAAAGCGAUUACAUAUAAAAAAAAAUNNNNNNNNNNNNNNNNNNNNNNNNNNNNNNNNNNNNNNNNNNNNNNNNNNNNNNNNNNNNNNNNNNNNNNNNNNNNNNNNNNNNNNNNNNNNNNNNNNNNCUUUUCCUUUAUCUUUAUUUUUGUUUUUGUUUGAAAAAUCAAAAUAAAAAAUAAAUACAACGAAAAAAGAAAAAGGAAAGAUUGCAAUCGGAAUCACCUUUGAUUUUUUUGCUUUUAUUUCUGUGAAUAAGUUACAAGAAAGAAAAGAAAAAGAACCCUGUUACAAGAAUAAAGUUUGGCCCCCUAACAGAUCUAAAGAUCGAUUUUUUACUGAUUCCCCUCUUUUUUUAUCUGUUUUUCGAUCGGUUUUAUACCGAAAGAUACCAAAAGCAAAAAAAACCCCCCUUUUUCCUUUUGUUUGAUUCGGCUCUUAUAGCCGAUUACGCUACUGUUUUCUGUUCUCUGUUGCUGUUUCUUUUGCUUUUGUUUUUGUUUGCAGGACCUGAUGAAGUCAACGGAGACGGAAAGCUUCCAUUUUGGUGCAAGGCGCAGCUGGCGGUGGCAGACCUCGGGCGACGAGUGCGCUGGAGGCACAUGGGUAGCAAGAUGCGGCGCACUAGGGUUUCUAGGUUUCUGAUUUUUGCUGAAAUUGUUUUAAUUUUGGGCCAUCUGGGCCUUGUUAUUUUUCGGGUUUGGAAUUUGGGUUGUAAUUUUGGGCCUGGGCAUAAAUUGGGUCUUACAAAGUACAAAUGCUUUAUUUGGAAGAAUAAAGUUAUACAUUUUAAAUUCGAUUAUUGUUUUUCAUUACUAAGGGUGGGUUUGGAUGGGCGGUGUGUUUGCUUGCGGUUAGUGUAAAAACAGUAGUGGCGGUGAGAUUAGAUACUGUAGCGAAAUUGUAGCCUGAAACAAAAAGUAAGCUAAACACAUCGCACCGCACUCAAUCGCUCAUCCAAACCCACCAUAAAUCUUUGAAAACGUUGUUUGUAUCAAAAUUAUUAAUAACAAUUUUUUUUUUCAAAAAAAUUAUUAAAAACAUUUUAUAAACUAAAAUUUUGUAAAUGUAAAUAUUAUUUUUUUAAAAAAACUUUACAGUAUAUUUUAAAAAAAUUAAAAUACAUUAAAAAGUAUUUUAAAAACAAUUUGAUUUAAGAAUAAUUUAAAACAAUUUGAAC